CUUCGGGGCCCCGCUCUCCCUUUCUCCACGCUGUCGGGUCCCCUCGCUGUUUUAGGAAGCGAACCUCGAAAUGGAGAGGGUGGUGGGAAGGGUGUGUCCGUGGGAAUGAAUGAUUUCACCGAGGUCUCUGCGGAGCGAAGCGCGGCUCCCCCCUGGAGCCCGGAUCGACCGGGGACGGGCGCCUUUGAUCUUAGUGCGAGGAGCUGCGCGUGGUCGUCGUUUCCGUGUUUACUCGGCUGCCUGGCGAUUCCUUUUUGAAUAAACUUUCAUUUUAGCUCUUUUGAUCUUUUUUUACUCCUUUUGAUUUUUUUAAUGUUUUUUUAGAUGUGUUGUGGCUGGGCGGCCGAGGCACGGCUCCAGCGAGCCCUAGCCCUCUUUAAAGGCUUUGUGGAAAAUGGUGCAUGCAGGGGAGGGGGCUGUCAGGGUGAUGAAUGCGCACGAAAUCGUUCAUCGCUUCCAGGCUGGCCCCUGCAAAAACGUGCGGGACAAGAGACCUACUAGCUGGAUGCGAAGAAAAGCCCCCUGGCCCUUUUGGCACAAACUUGCUCGCAGAUAGGAAAGCCGGACCCGUCCCCUUCCUCCAAACUCUCCUCGGUCACCUCCAAUGGCUCCGGAGGCGACAAGGACUCCAAGUCGGGCCCUCUGAAGCUCAGCGACAUCGGCGUGGAGGACAAGUCGAGCUUCAAGCCCUACUCCAAACCGGGCGCGGAGAAGAAGGAGCCGGGGGCGGCGGGCUGCGCGGGCACCCCCGCGGCGGGGGUCGCGGCCGGAGAGAAGUCGGGAUUCCGGGUGCCGAGCGCCACCUGCCAGCCGUUCACCCCAAGGACAGGCAGCCCCAACUCCAGCGCCUCCGCCUGCUCGCCCGGGCUGCUGCCGGCCGAGGGCAAAGGCGGGGAGGACAAGAAGGACUCGGAGAGCUGCGGCAAGAGCGGCGGCUCCGGCACGGAGGGCGGCCCGGGCUCCGCCGGCAUCGGCCACGGCCGGAUUAGCGUGAGCUGCGCCGGGAUUAACGUGGAGGUCAACCAGCACCAGGAGAGCGCGCCGGGCUCCAAGCCCAUCGCUUCGGACUCCGCCUCCUCCUGCAGCAGCACCACCGCCACCUCCUCCGCCUCCGUGCUGGGCUCCGGCCUCGUGGCCCCCGUCUCCCCCUACAAGCCGGGCCAGACCGUCUUCCCGCUGCCUCCGGCGGGCAUGAGCUACCCGGGGACGCUGGCCGGGG
rnacentral:lncRNA from 1 species